GAUGAACGCUGGCGGCGUGCCUAAUACAUGCAAGUCGAGCGAACAGACGAGGAGCUUGCUCCUCUGACGUUAGCGGCGGACGGGUGAGUAACACGUGGAUAACCUACCUAUAAGACUGGGAUAACUUCGGGAAACCGGAGCUAAUACCGGAUAAUAUGUUGAACCGCAUGGUUCAAUAGUGAAAGACGGUUUUGCUGUCACUUAUAGAUGGAUCCGCGCCGCAUUAGCUAGUUGGUAAGGUAACGGCUUACCAAGGCAACGAUGCGUAGCCGACCUGAGAGGGUGAUCGGCCACACUGGAACUGAGACACGGUCCAGACUCCUACGGGAGGCAGCAGCAGGGAAUCUUCCGCAAUGGGCGAAAGCCUGACGGAGCAACGCCGCGUGAGUGAUGAAGGUCUUCGGAUCGUAAAACUCUGUUAUUAGGGAAGAACAAAUGUGUAAGUAACUAUGCACGUCUUGACGGUACCUAAUCAGAAAGCCACGGCUAACUACGUG
rnacentral:rRNA from 1 species